rnacentral:rRNA from 1 species
AUUGAACGCUGGCGGCAUGCUUUACACAUGCAAGUCGAACGGUAACAGGCCGCAAGGUGCUGACGAGUGGCGAACGGGUGAGUAAUGCAUCGGAACGUGCCCAGUCGUGGGGGAUAACGCAGCGAAAGCUGUGCUAAUACCGCAUACGAUCUAUGGAUGAAAGCGGGGGACCGUAAGGCCUCGCGCGAUUGGAGCGGCCGAUGUCAGAUUAGGUAGUUGGUGGGGUAAAGGCCCACCAAGCCAACGAUCUGUAGCUGGUCUGAGAGGGCGACCAGCCACACUGGGACGGAGACACGGCCCAGACUCCUACGGGAGGCAGCAGUGGGGAAUUUUGGGCAAUGGGCGCAAGCCUGAUCCAGCAAUGCCGCGUGCAGGAAGAAGGCCUUCGGGUUGUAAACUGCUUUUGUACGGAACGAAACGGUCUGGGUUAAUACCCUGGGCUAAUGACGGUACCGUAAGAAUAAGCACCGGCUAACUACGUGCCAGCAGCCGCAGUAAAAC